AUGAUGGGGUAUUUUGGCCAGCAACUCCCGAUUUGGAUGCUGUCAACAUCGAUGGUGCCCUUCAACAACUUGAAGUUUAUAGGGUUUUCUGACCUGGCUUGUUGCACACAACUUCCCAAUGGGUUAUGCCAGCUCCCCAAUUUGCAGUUCCUACAGGUCUCUCGUGCUCCAUGCAUCAAACAUGUGGGGACCGGAUUCGUGCAGGCGACAACAGCUUCAUUUCCAAGGUUAAACACAUUGAGAUUGUUCGACAUGGUGGAAUGGGGGGAGUGGGAGUGGGAGGAGCAAGUACAAGCCAUGCGUCGUUUGGAGGAACUUGUGCUCAGUAAAUGCAGACUGAGGCAUGUUCCUCCAGGCCUUGCCUCCAAUGCAAGCUCUUUGAAAAUGUUAAGUCUACUACAUAUCAAGCAGCUCAGCAACAUUGAGAGCUUUCCUUCUGUUGUUGAGCUUUUCGUGAAUGAUUGCCCUGACCUGGAGAGGAUCACCAAUCUCCCCAAUCUGCAGAAGCUUACCAUUUACAACUGCCCAAAGUUGAAGGUGCUGGAGCAUAUAGCUUCACUCGAGAGGCUGGUCGUGAAGGAUUACACCAUGGAAAAACUCCCAGAAUACAUGCGAGACAUAAAGGCAAGGCAUUUGCAGUUAUUCUGCAGGCUAUGGUUGCUCUCUGCGGUAGCCGCGGGACAAUCUGGCACGGAGUGGGACAAGUUCAGCCAUAUGGAGCAUGUCAAGGCAUAUGCCGGUGAUGGAGACAACCAAAGAAAAUGGUACGUUUUGUACAUGAGAGGAGACAACUGCAAGUUGGAUUCAAAUAUUAGCAACUCUACCAUAUUUGAAGAAACCUUAUCACCUUCUAUGGUGGAUGCACAGGGAUUUGACUCUCUGUACAAAGUGAGAAGAAGUACCUUGAGUUACGUCUGCAGCUUGGUGAGGAUCCCAUUUUUUGAAGAUAUGACGGCAAGGGAGCCCACCUUUGUCGAUGGGAGAGUGUUGUCUUUGCAAGACAGAGUUGCUGUCGCUCUGAGGGUAUUGAACUCUGGUGACUCUCCAGUUACCGUAGGAUCCUCUCUUGGUGUGAAUGAGUCAACCGUCUCGCUGGUAACUCAGGUGUUUGUUGAGGCUAUGUGUGACCGAGCAAUGCACCACUGCAGCUGGCCUGGCUCCACUAAAAUGGAGAAGAUCAAACACAAGUUUGACAAGAUCCACGGCCUGCCAAACUGUUGUGGCGUUGUACAUACAUAUCACAUCACGUUUGGAUCACAAAACCCUGACCAUGAGGAGAAUGACGUUGUGCUAAUGCAAGCCAUCGUUGAUUCAGAUAUGAGGUUAAUGGAGUUUUGGUUUGGCGGUGAUCUCUUGGAGAGCAUUGAGAAAUAUGCUUGGCUGAAUGGCGGUAAGGUGAAGUUAUCAGAUGGCUCGGAGGUCGGGGAAUACAUCAUUGGUGAUGCAGGAUACCCUCUUCGUCCAUGGCUCCUCACACGUUACCAGUUAGAAAAUGGCCUCUCACUCUCAGAGUCCAAAGUCGAGUUUAACAGGAGACACUCUGCAGCUACAGCCGUCGCGGGGAGGUCGUUGACAAGGUUGAAAGACACAUGGAAGUGGCUGCAGGGAGAAGGGUGGCAUCCAAAUAACAGACGUGUGAUGAACCGGAUAGUCGGCGCGUGCUGCAUGUUGCAUAACAUAGUGAUAGACUUGGAAGGGGACGAGGGUGCAAGCAUGCCGAGCGGUCAGGAGGACAUUUAUGCCGAGAAAGCAUGGAAGUUAGCAGAUGAGGAUGCUGUCAGGGUGAGGGAUGCACUGUCCCAGCACUUGAUCGGAUCUGAAGUUCACACAAUGGCUGCAGAGGAGGAAGAAGAAGCAGUGGCAGCAGUUGCAAUUUGUUCUGGAGAUGGAAACAAGGAAGAAGAAGCACGCCAAUGA
rnacentral:rRNA from 1 species